rnacentral:misc_RNA from 1 species
ACUGUCGAGGGGCAUUUUGAGGACGUCAUCUGGACCGCAAUUAGAAUCGCCCGGGGACGGUCGCAAGUCAGUCCGGCCGUGACGGCGCAUUCGAAACGUCAUAUGUUUUAUUACGCCGGAACUAGAUUGACAAGCUGCAGUGCUGUCGUCUGGCGGAGCGUCGUAGCGUUGGUUAGCGCGGCCAUGUUGGCAACUUUACUUUUUGUUACCGCAUCGCAAGCGCACCACGUACCGAGUCGACGAAUCGCUUUUGUUCCGCGUAAUCUUUUGAUAUCUAUUGUUAAUUGUUACUGAUUGUUAUAGUG